AUGAUACCACCCUACAACUUCUUAAGGCAAUUAAGUUUUCAACACUUCGAAUAAUUAAAGACUCCCCCACUGAUAAAGUAUACACUCACCAUAGAUCAGCUCAAGAACUAGGCAUGACAUAAAAGUAACAAUUAGGAGAGAAGAAUUUUUAAAUCUUUAUAGGUUCUGAGAAGCCAUUCUCUCUUAUCAAGUUAUACGAGAACACUGAGGUCUUUCUGAUUCAAAGCAUGAAUCCAUCAGAAAAGGUAAAACUAACCC
rnacentral:misc_RNA from 1 species